rnacentral:rRNA from 1 species
UCGCCCUACGGGGGGCAGCAGUGGGGAAUAUUGCACAAUGGGCGAAAGCCUGAUGCAGCAACGCCGCGUGAAGGAAGAAGGGUUUCGGCUCGUAAACUUCUAUCAACAGGGACGAAAGAAAUGACGGUACCUGAAUAAGAAGCCCCGGCUAACUACGUGCCAGCAGCCGCGGUAAUACGUAGGGGGCAAGCGUUAUCCGGAAUUAAUGGGUGUAAAGGGCGUGCAGCCGGGCUGACAAGUCAGAUGUGAAAUCCCGCGG